rnacentral:rRNA from 1 species
UACGUAGGGACCAAGCGUUGUUCGGAUUUACUGGGCGUAAAGGGCGCGUAGGCGGCAAUUUCAAGUCAUCUGUGAAAUCUCCGGGCUUAACUCGGAACGGUCAGAUGAUACUGCUUUGCUAGAGUGCGGAAGGGGCAAUCGGAAUUCUUGGUGUAGCGGUGAAAUGCGUAGAUAUCGGAAGGAACAUCAGUGGCGAAAGCGACUUCCUGGACCAAUACUGACACUCAAGUGCGAAAGCGUGGGGAGCAAACAGG